GGCCUUGUAGCUCAGCUGGUAGAGCGUUUGCGUACAAAGCGUAGGCGGCGUUCAUGCGUGGGUCUGAACCCCACCGAGGUUA
rnacentral:tRNA from 1 species